GAUGAAGAACGCAGCGAAAUGCGAUAAGUAAUGUGAAUUGCAGAAUUCAGUGAAUCAUCGAAUCUUUGAACGCACAUUGCGCCCGCCAGUAUUCUGGCGGGCAUGCCUGUUCGAGCGUCAUUACAACCCUCAGGCCCCCGGGCCUGGCGUUGGGGAUCGGCGGAAGCCCCCUGCGGGCACAACGCCGUCCCACAAAUACAGUGGCGGUCCCGCCGCAGCUUCCAUUGCGUAGUAGCUAACACCUCGCAACUGGAGAGCGGCGCGGCCACGCCGUAAAACACCCAACUUCUGAAUGUUGACCUCGAAUCAGGUAGGAAUACCCGCUGAACUUAAGCAUAUCAAUAAGCGGAGGA
rnacentral:misc_RNA from 1 species